CCUCGGAAGGUUAAAGCUCAGGUGGAACUUCUUUGAAAAAUAUCCACAGCCCUUACUGAAGUGCUCUGGAAUUUCUCUGCAGUCCUGGACUAAGCAGAUGGUGAUCAUCAUGAGAGAAGUGAUUUUUUCUCAUUCCUUUGGUGUAUCUCUAAAGUUCCUACUCUGAGCCUUGGACCUCGUCAGGUAUUUCUGGAAAUCAGAAGACAGUUCCCAUAAAACCUGGAAAUUGGGAAAAUAUAGAGCCUAGAGAAUAUGAUACACAAUAUCACUAUAAUAUUUUAAAGCAAGCAAAAUAUGGAUAAAGUGAACACUGACAACAGAAUUGAAUGGGGAAUGAGCUCAGGACAUAUAGCAGAGCCCCCUUCCACGACCACCACUAGCAUCUUGCAGAAUUGAAAGUCAGAACAAAGGGGUGAGAAGAGACCAACAGAACACAAGACCUGACACGUCUGUGAAGAAUGACAGAGAGAAGCCCAAGUCAUUUUCCAGAGCUAGUUCUUUGUGCUUACUAUUGCAGAUUGCCUUAAAAGAAUGUUCCCAAGAAAAUAAUCAAGUGUCUAAACUUAUUUUGCUUCUUAGGAAAAAAAAUGUAUUUUGAAGGCAAAGAUAGAAAAUAUUCCAGAGAACACAUCCAUCUGGAAGAUUUUCCCAGAACUCUUCAGAUCAGCCUGGAUCCAAUUUUCAUAACUCAUCCACACAGUGGAUGGUGGGCAUUUAUAUUAUGUCUCCUUAGAAGCAGACAUCGUCCUACACAAUCAUCUAGAGCUUCUUGCAGCCUUGAAAGUAUUUAAGGAGUACAAUAGUGAUUCCGAAAAUGUGCCAAUCCAAGUCAACGCAGCUUUGCUUCAACCCAUAUCCAUUAUAAAAAGGUAAAGUUUUAAUUUUUGGCAGGAAGGCAAAGGAGGAAGUCUUGUUUAUGCUUCCAUCUCAGUAC